UACGUAGGGUGCAGGCGUUAAUCGGAAUUACUGGGCGUAAAGCGUGCGCAGGCGGCUCCUUAAGUCAGAUGUGAAAGCCCCGGGCUUAACCCGGGAACUACGUUUGAAACUGGGGAGCUAGAGUGUGGAAGAGGGGGGUGGAAUUCCAGGUGUAGCAGUGAAAUGCGUAGAGAUCUGGAGGAACACCGAUGGCGAAGGCAGCCCCCUGGGCUAACACUGACGCUCAUGCACGAAAGCGUGGGGAGCAAACAGG
rnacentral:rRNA from 1 species